rnacentral:ncRNA from 1 species
AAAGGCUUGGUCCUGACUUUACUAUUAGCUUUAACCUGAUUUAUACAUGCAAGUAUCCGCAUCCCUGUGAGAAUGCCCUCAAUCCCCUGCCCGAGGACAAGGAGCGGGCAUCAGGCACAUAAACUAGCCCAAGACGCCUUGCUACGCCACACCCCCAAGGGACUUCAGCAGUAAUAAACAUUAAGCCAUAAGUGAAAACUUGACUUAGUCACGGUUACAAGGGUCGGUAAAAUUCGUGCCAGCCACCGCGGUUAUACGAAAGACCCCAGUUAAUAGCCACGGCGUAAAGGGUGGUUAAGGAAUAUAUUAAAUAAAGCUAAAGAUCUUCUAAGCCGUCAUACGCACUCCGAAGACACGAAACCCAAACACGAAAGUAGCUUCAAACCCCUCCUGACCCCACAAAAGCUAAGAAACAAACUGGGAUUAGAUACCCCACUAUGCUUAGCCAUAAACCUAGAUGUAACCUUACAUUUACAUCCGCCCGGGUACUACGAGCACAGCUUAAAACCCAAAGGACUUGGCGGUGCCUCAGACCCACCUAGAGGAGCCUGUUCUAGAACCGAUAACCCCCGUUAAACCUCACCACUUCUUGUUUUCCCCGCCUAUAUACCGCCGUCGUCAGCUUACCCUGUGAAGGUCCAAUAGUAAGCAAAAUGGAUACACCCAAAAACGUCAGGUCGAGGUGUAGCGUAUGAAGUGGGAAGAAAUGGGCUACAUUUUCUAAAUAACAGAAUAUUACGGACAACACCCUGAAAAUGGUGCUCAAAGGUGGAUUUAGUAGUAAAAAGCAAAUAGAGAGUCCUUUUGAAUUAGGCUCUGAGGCGCGCACACACCGCCCGUCACUCUCCCCCACCCACUAAACCUAAAACUUAUAUAUAAUACAUCAAAUAUCAACACGGGGAGGCAAGUCGUAACAUGGUAAGUGUACCGGAAGGUGCACUUGGAAUAA